GGUACAUACAGAGGGCCGCCAACCCGCGAGGGGGAGCUAAUCCCAGAAAGUGUAUCGUAGUCCGGAUCGCAGUCUGCAACUCGACUGCGUGAAGUUGGAAUCGCUAGUAAUCGCGGAUCAGCAUGUCGCGGUGAAUACGUUCCCGGGUCUUGUACACACCGCCCGUCACACCAUGGGAGCGGGUUUUACCAGAAGUAGGUAGCUUAACCGCAAGGAGGGCGCUUACCACGGUAGGAUUCGUGACUGGGGUGAAGUCGUAACAAGGUAGCCGUAUCGGAAGGUGCGGUUGGAUCACCUCCU
rnacentral:rRNA from 1 species